GAUGAACGCUGGCGGCGUGCUUAACACAUGCAAGUCGAACGGAAAGGCCCAAGCUUGCUUGGGUACUCGAGUGGCGAACGGGUGAGUAACACGUGGGUGAUCUGCCCUGCACUUCGGGAUAAGCCUGGGAAACUGGGUCUAAUACCGGAUAGGACGAUGGUUUGGAUGCCAUUGUGGAAAGUUUUUUCGGUGUGGGAUGAGCUCGCGGCCUAUCAGCUUGUUGGUGGGGUAAUGGCCUACCAAGGCGUCGACGGGUAGCCGGCAUGAGAGGGUGUACGGCCACAUUGGGACUGAGAUACGGCCCAGAGUCCUACGGGAGGCAGCAGUGGGGAAUAUUGCACAAUGGGCGCCAGCCUGAUGCAGCGACGCCGCGUGGGGGAUGACGGCCUUCGGGUUGUAAACUCCUUUCGCUAGGGACGAAGCGUUUUUGUGACGGUACCUGGAGAAGAAGCACCGGCUAACUACGUG
rnacentral:rRNA from 1 species